CCAGGCCCUACGGGGCGCAGCAGUCGCGAAAACUUCACAAUGGAGGCAACUCCGAUGAGGGAAUUCCUAGUGCCAAUGCAUUUUGUGUUGGCUUUUCUUCAGCGUAGAUAACUGUUGGAAUAAGGGCUGGGUAAGACGGGUGCCAGCCGCCGCGGUAAUACCCGCAGCCCAAGUGGUGGUCGAUAUUAUUGAGUCUAAAACGUUCGUAGCCGGUUCAAUAAAUCUCUGGGUAAAUCGGAGGGCUUAACCUUCCGAAUUCCGGAGAGACUGUUGAACUUGGGACCGGGAGAGGCAAGAGGUACUUCUGGGGCAGGGGUAAAAUCCUGUAAUCCUAGAAGGACCACCGGUGGCGAAGGCGUCUUGCUAGAACGGAUCCGACGGUGAGGGACGAAGCCCUGGGUCGCAAACGGGAUUAGAUACCCCGGUAGUCCAGGGUGUAAACGCUGCAGACUUGGUGUUGGGAACCCUUCGGGGGUGCUCAGUGCCGGAGAGAAG
rnacentral:rRNA from 1 species